rnacentral:piRNA from 1 species
UGAUCUAUUUUAGGAGUCUUAAAAGGAAAG